rnacentral:rRNA from 1 species
UACGAAGGGGGCUAGCGUUGCUCGGAAUGACUGGGCGUAAAGGGCGCGUAGGCGGAUGGCACAGUCAGAUGUGAAAUUCCCGGGCUUAACCUGGGGGCUGCAUUUGAUACGUGUUGUCUUGAGUUCGGAAGAGGGUCGUGGAAUUCCCAGUGUAGAGGUGAAAUUCGUAGAUAUUGGGAAGAACACCGGUGGCGAAGGCGGCGACCUGGUCCGACACUGACGCUGAGGCGCGAAAGCGUGGGGAGCAAACGGG